GGGCGAUUAGCUCAGGUGGUAGAGCGCUAGUCUCACAUACUAGAGGUCACUGGUUCGAUCCCAGUAUCGCCCA
rnacentral:tRNA from 1 species